UGCAACUCGCCUACAUGAAGUCGGAAUCGCUAGUAAUCGCGGAUCAGCAUGCCGCGGUGAAUACGUUCCCGGGCCUUGUACACACCGCCCGUCACACCAUGAGAGUUUGUAACACCCAAAGCCGGUGGGGUAACCUUUUGGAGCCAGCCGUCUAAGGUGGGACAGAUGAUUGGGGUGAAGUCGUAACAAGGUAUC
rnacentral:rRNA from 1 species